rnacentral:lncRNA from 1 species
ACAAAAUCUGUCAUCUUAACCACUUCGAAGUAUACAGUUCAGUUGAACCAAGUAUACAGUUCAGUUGUACUAAAACAUGUCAACCAUUUCGUUUUGCAGAUGGGAAGCCUGAGGCUCAGAAGGAAUGGAACAUGUCAAGGGAUAUGGCAGAGAGAGGACUCACACUCAGACUAUGGAUCGCCUUCAGGUCCCGAAAGAGGGCAGGACAUGCCAAAGGGAAGAGGAGGAACAAGGAGAGUCAUUAUUCCAGGCAGUGGACACUUGCUGACUUCCUGUAAGAUGAACUCCAGGGCCAUCUUCCAGUCUUGC